rnacentral:rRNA from 1 species
GACGAACGCUGGCGGCGUGCUUAACACAUGCAAGUCGAACGGUAAGGCCCUUCGGGGUACACGAGUGGCGAACGGGUGAGUAACACGUGGGUGAUCUGCCCUGCACUUCGGGAUAAGCCUGGGAAACUGGGUCUAAUACCGGAUAGGACCACUGCCUGCAUGGGUGGGGGUGGAAAGCUUUUGCGGUGUGGGAUGGGCCCGCGGCCUAUCAGCUUGGUGGUGGGGUGAUGGCCUACCAGGGCGACGACGGGUAGCCGGCCUGAGAGGGUGACCGGCCACACUGGGACUGAGAUACGGCCCAGACUCCUACGGGAGGCAGCAGUGGGGAAUAUUGCACAAUGGGCGCAAGCCUGAUGCAGCGACGCCGCGUGAGGGAUGACGGCCUUCGGGUUGUAAACCUCUUUCAGCACCGACGAAGCGCGAGUGACGGUAGGUGCAGAAGAAGGACCGGCCAACUACGUGCCAGCAGCCGCCGUAAUAC